rnacentral:rRNA from 1 species
GGCGUAAAGCGUCUGUAGACGUUCUAUUAAGUCAAUGGUAAAAUACUGAUGCUCAACAUCAGUUCUGCCAUCGAUACUGAUAGAAUAGAGGUUGGAAGAGGUAAGCGGAAUUGCCGGUGUAGUAGUUAAAUGCGUUAAUAUCGGCAGGAACACCAAAUGCGAAAGCAGCUUACUGGUACACACCUGACGUUGAGAGACGAAAGCGUGGGUAGCGAAUGGGAUUAGAUACCCCAGUAGUCCACGCCGUAAACGAUGGAUGCUAGACAUUGGUAGUAUCGACCCUAUCAGUGUCGCUGAACCAAGCUAACGCGUUAAGCAUCCCGCCUGGGGAGUACGGCCGCAAGGCUAAAACUCAAAGGAAUUGACGGGAACCCGCACAAGCGGUGGAGCAUGUGGUUUAAUUCGACAGUAAGCGAGGAACCUUACCAGGGCUUGACAUCCUCGGAACCCUGUAGAAAUACGGGGGUGCCUUCGGGAACCGAGUGACAGGUGCUGCAUGGUUGUCGUCAGCUCGUGUCGUGAGAUGUACGGUUAAGUCCGGGAAACGAGCGCAACCCUUAUUCUGUGUUGCAAUUUCACAGAAGACUGCCAUCUUUAAGAUGGAGGAAGGUGGGGAUGACGUCAAAUCAGCAUGGCUCUUACGCCCUGGGCGACACACGUGCUACAAUGGCCAGUACAGAGGGUUGCCAAACCGAAAGGUGGAGCUAAUCUUGCAAAUCUGGUCCAAGUUCGGAUUGAGGUCUGCAAUUCGACCUCAUGAAGUCGGAAUCGCUAGUAA